UCUUCUUAUUCUUCUUCUUCAAGACAGGGUCUCAUUUUGUCUCCAAGGCCGAAGUGCAAUGGUGGUGCUGCUAUUAUGGCUCACUGCAGACUCGACCUCCCAGGCUCAGAAAAUCCUCUCACCUCAUCCUCCUGAGCACAGAACUAGACUGUAUGUCCCAGCCUCCCUUGUAUUUGGGUGUGGACAUGUGACUGAGUUCUAACCAAUGAAUAUGAGUGGAAGUGAAGCCAUAUCCCAUGCGUCACUCCCAUGCAAAUUCCCAGCCUCUCCUUAGGGAUGGCACCACACUCUUGACACCGAUCACAGGAUACAUGUCCCUCCAGUAUGCCUUUCCUGAAAAAGCUCUUCCCUGUGGUGACAGAAUCCCAGACCUGGAGAAGCAGAACAUGGAGCCCGCUGUCCCUGAGGCUAGCACCCUCUGAUCAUGCUGUGCUGAGGAAGCAAACGCCGAUCCCACCCCCAUCCUGCAGCUCGGCUCUACUCAAAUAUCUCAUUUUCUCUCCUGGGCAUUCUUGCAAAUCCUCUGUUUAUCCUGCUUUUUCUCUCUCCCACCUGUUGACUGGCAUGUUCUUUCCACCCUGGAUUUUUCACUCCACCACCCACCCGUUCCUUGCCUGUACUUACUAUCUACUCAGUUGCCCUUGAUACCAGAUAAUUUGGUUUUUGAUUGUGGGGCAUUAUAUGGAUUUAAAGAUUUCAGUUUAUUGCUUUCUAGAUUCGAGUCAAACUCUCUUAAUAUCACUGUUGUUUAAGCGCAUCCCCAUCUCGCCCAUGCUGCAGGAGCCUUGGGCCCUGCCACUUCCUUGCUCGGCCUCUGGAGGCGCUCUUGGAGCGGCCUGCCGCCUCCCC
rnacentral:lncRNA from 1 species